GAGUGGACGCAUCACUGGUGUUCGGGUUGUCAUGCCAAUGGCACUGCCCGGUAGCUAAAUGCGGAAGAGAUAAGUGCUGAAAGCAUCUAAGCACGAAACUUGCCCCGAGAUGAGUUCUCCCUGAGACUUAGAGUCUCCUGAAGGAACGUUGAAGACGACGACGUUGAUAGGCCGGGUGUGUAAGCGCAGCGAUGCGUUGAGCUAACCGGUACUAAUGAACCGUGAGGCUUAACCUUACA
rnacentral:rRNA from 1 species